rnacentral:lncRNA from 1 species
UUCCCAGUGUGGAUGGACCUCACCGGGCUGAGAUCCCAGAGUGUACAGCAGUAAAAGGUUUACGACCCAAUGCCAUUUUAAGAGAAGAAAGAAGAAAAAAGGUAAUGAUAGCUGAAGAUUUACUAGUGACAGUCAUUUUCAAACCAUUUUAGCAUGUCUUCCCCUUCUCUCCUUCCCAUCCUGCUGCAAUAAAAUGUUCCACAGGAGCUGUCCAAAAUGGCGGCUCCUGUCAAAAUGGUGGCACCAUAGCAUCUCCUCAGCCUGCUGCCUUCACAGGAGCUAUCUAAGAUGGCCCACCACCUCCUUUCCUGCCUCCGAUGUAGCUGGCCCUCAAGAGCUGUCCUCAGUGGUGACCUUUCCUGCUUCAGCCUACUACCAACAUGAGAUAUCCGUGGUGUAUAUGUCCUACAGUGUUGAACAAAACACAAGAAGAAGAUAUUUGGGGCCAUGAAUAACUCAAGGACCCAGCCAGAUCUCAACAGUGGCACCUGCCCAACCUGCCAUUGUGCAAGUUUCUGCCACAUACUUUGAGAAGACACCUUCAAAGCUUAACAGGAGACCCUUUCAUCCUUGUAUGUAUAAUAAGAAAAUAUAUUAUGGUAUAGUGCUUCAUCUCUGAUUUGGGGUUUCACUGUGGAUGCUAACUCAAUAAUCAUGAAUUUAAAAUGCUGUCACAGAGAGUCCUGGCUGAAGGGAGGGUCACAGAGAGUCCUGGCUGAAGUUGGAGUUACAGAGAAUCCUGGCUGAAGGGACAAAGCUCAGAGAAUACAUUUAACAUCCCCUAGGUACCCAAUAUAUCCAUGAAUUUGUAUGUGACACAAAAACCUAGACAGGGAUAGGCACAUAUUUUCUUUCUUGCCUCUUCAACAACAACCCUAAAGUAAUUGGACCAAAGUGUGACCUUGCUUUGAUUGCUUUCUCAUUUGGGGUUCAUAUCUGAGCUCUCAAGCUUUCUAAUUUACGUAAUUGGAAUGAACUUAUGGGGCAAGUAUUUUAUGAAAGUACUCUGCGUAAGAUCUUAAAUUAUUGGAAAUAAUUUACCUCAUGAAAGAUAAUAUUUCUAGUAAUGUACAAAACCUAGAAAAAUUCUAAAAA